CAGCAGCCGCGGUAAUACGUAGGGUCCGAGCGUUGUCCGGAAUUAUUGGGCGUAAAGAGCUCGUAGGCGGUCUGUCGCGUCUGCCGUGAAAUCCUCAGGCUCAACCUGAGGCGUGCGGUGGGUACGGGCAGGCUAGAGUGCGGUAGGGGAGAAUGGAACUCCUGGUGUAGCGGUGGAAUGCGCAGAUAUCAGGAAGAACACCGAUGGCGAAGGCAGUUCUCUGGGCCGUAACUGACGCUGAGGAGCGAAAGCGUGGGGAGCGAACAGGAUUAGAGACCCGCGUAGUCCCUGUCUCUUAUAC
rnacentral:rRNA from 1 species